GCAUCGGUGGUUCAACGGUAGAAUAUUCGUCUGCAAUAACGAAUGACUCAGGUUCGACUCCUGGCCGAUGCA